rnacentral:tRNA from 1 species
CGUCGCCGUGGCGCGCGCGGUCACCCGGCCGCUGGCGGCGACCGGGCUGAGCGGGGUGUUCAACGUUCACCCGACGGUGGCC